GGGAUAACUCCGGGAAACUGGAGCUAAUACCGCAUGAUAACUGAGGUUCAAAGGUCGCAAGACCGCCUUGAGAGGGGCCUGCGUUCGAUUAGUUAGUUGGUGGGGUAAUGGCCUACCAAGACGAUGAUCGAUAGCUGGUUUGAGAGGAUGAUCAGCCACACUGGGACUGAGACACGGCCCAGACUCCUACGGGAGGCAGCAGUGGGGAAUAUUGGACAAUGGGGGCAACCCUGAUCCAGCAAUGCCGCGUGUGUGAAGAAGGUCUUCGGAUUGUAAAACACUUUCGUUGGGGACGAUGAUGACGGUACCCAAAGAAGAAGCCCCGGCUAACUUCGUGCCAGCAGCCGCGGUAAUACNAAGGGGGCGAGCGUUGCUCGGAAUAACUGGGCGUAAAGGGCGCGUAGGCGGCCGAUAGCUGUCAGAUGUGAAAUUUUUGGGCUCNACCCGAAAACUGCAUUUGAUACNUAUUGGCUAGAGUGCGAGAGAGGAUUGCGGAAUUCCCAGUGUAGAGGUGAAAUUCGUAGAUAUUGGGAAGAACACCAGUUGCGAAGG
rnacentral:rRNA from 1 species